rnacentral:tRNA from 1 species
CAAAAAAUAGUUUAUAAAAAUGAUAACAUUGGAAGUUAUUGAUCAAUAAAAAAAUUUAUUGUUUUUUGA